UACGGAGGGCGCAAGCGUUGUUCGGAAUCACUGGGCGUAAAGCGCGUGUAGGCGGCUUGGUAAGUCGGGUGUGAAAGCCCGGAGCUCAACUCCGGAACUGCACUCGAAACUGCCUCGCUCGAGUCCCGGAGAGGGUGGUGGAAUUCCCGGUGUAGAGGUGAAAUUCGUAGAGAUCGGGAGGAACACCAGUGGCGAAGGCGGCCACCUGGACGGUGACUGACGAUGAGACGCGAAAGUGUGGGGAGCAAACAGG
rnacentral:rRNA from 1 species